rnacentral:snRNA from 1 species
AUACUUACCUGAUGCUGGGGCCUCGUUGAUCACCGAAGACGAGACGACAGGGCGGGGCGCAGGCAUUGCACUGCGCCCGCCUUUACCCCUGCCACCCCAAACGGGGGCAGAUAGGGCGUCGAAAUUGC